ACACACACACACACACACACACACACACACACACACACACACACACACACACACACACGUGAACACACACUGAUAAAACAGUGACGCCCACUAAGAAAUGCGUUAACUCUCCACAAACAUCCAGCAAUGUGUGUUUUUGUGUUCUUUGCUUUCAAAAGAUCAAAGGGGAGUCUCCUGCAUCAGCCAAUCGACAAACAGACAGAGUAACCGCUACUGCCUGCAGAACAAACACACACGUACAUCAUCAAUAUCUUCACCGCUGUCCAUCUUUGGAGGUUCAGAGCUUUACAUUGCACAAAACAACCCCCACAACUGAACAAACUGCCUCCAGAUGGAAUUCUGCAGGAGGCUGAGACGGAGAAGAGGGGGGGCGGAUCCCUGACUCCAGCCACUCCAACGAGCCGUAGCGUGGAGAAGCUGGCACAUGUGGACUGACAAUGAGUUUUAAAACCCUCCAGACCUGCACGUGACUCAGCAAAAACCUUUUUUUUUUUUUACGGAUGUGACUCUCUGGAGCAGCAGGCUGGCUGGUUUGGCUGGAUCAAACGUGAGCCAGAGGAACAACAAGAAGGAAGCUUUGACGAGUUGAAGGGCAGGUUUUUAUCAACUGUAACACACCUCUGAUUGGGCAUUUUAAUUUCCUUGACUUUCAACAAGAUGGUAUGCAGGAAAAGCCUGUUUCAGAGAGCUGAAUUUAGCUGCUUAAGAUAAAAUGUGAACCUCAACAUCGUUAUAAACUGUUCAAACACACAUUUUAAUUUCAAGUCUGAAUCUGUUUGGCAGAAUUGAAAAGAAAUGUGAAUAAAAUGAUGCACAAGGCCACAGCUGCAACUAAUGAGUAUUCCUUCAUGGAUUCAUCUGGAUAUUUUUCCUUCAAUUAAUCAUUUAGUCUAUAAAAUGUCAGAAAAUAGAAUGCUUCCUUAAGCCCAAAGCGAUGACUUUAAAUUGCUUAUUUUGUCCGACUAACAGCCCAAAACCCAAAGAUAUUCAGUUUACAAUCAUAUAAAAAAAACAGCAAAUCCUCACACUGGAGAAACAUUUUUAUCUUAAUGACUUAAACGAUUAAUCGAUUAUUCAAAUAGUUGCAGAUUCAUUUCUGCAGUCAAUAAUCGAUUAAUUGUUUCAGCUCUACACGAGAUGACCGACAUAAACAGGAGCCAUUAAAGAUGGGAUAUUUUGGGUUUGAACAUUUCAUUUUAUUAUUAACAUCUCCCAGCUUCAGCAGAGACACAAUAUGUUCUAGUUUGUGGGGACUGGAGGCUGGUUCAAGUCCCCAUAAAAACAGUCUUGAGUAAGACAUCGGACCCUGAACAGCCCAUGGGUAGCCCCCUCACUCUGGCACCUCUCCAAUUAAUGCUUGUGUGUGUGUAUAUAAUAGGUCCUGUUUGUGCAUGUGUGUGUAUUUCGGCAUGUGUAUGCGUAAUGUGUAAAAUCAAGUGAAAAAAUUUAAUUUUCCCUUGGAUUCCUAAAAUACUUUUUCUCCUAUAUGUGGCAUCACAUUUGUCAAACUGUGGAGAAAAUGUUCUCUCUACAUGAUGUAAUGUUGCUUAAUCAAAUUUUAAGAUUUAAAUUGUUUAGUGUGAAUGAUUUUGAUUUGAAAGGAAAUAUGUUCAAAAUAAAAGAUUUAGCAUUUAUUGU